UACGUAGGGGGCAAGCGUUGUCCGGAUUUAUUGGGCGUAAAGAGCUCGUAGGCGGCUUGUCGCGUCGUCCGUGAAAACUUGGGGCUCAACCCCAAGCCUGCGGUCGAUACGGGCAGGCUAGAGUUCGGUAGGGGAGACUGGAAUUCCUGGUGUAGCGGUGAAAUGCGCAGAUAUCAGGAGGAACACCGGUGGCGAAGGCGGGUCUCUGGGCCGAUACUGACGCUGAGGAGCGAAAGCGUGGGGAGCGAACAGG
rnacentral:rRNA from 1 species